ACGACAAUGAGACAUUUUUUGACCCUCAGAGUGCUAAUGACCAGAUGACUGAUUCUUCUAUUUCCCCACCAUUCACUUAGAACCAAAGAGGCUUCUUGGAUGAAAAACAAAGAACAUUUUUAAAAAAUGUUCAGUUCCUUUUGGAAAAGCACCUUCGGGAUAAUCAUGAACUGGAAGAUUGAGAUUCUACACAGCCAUUUUCAUCCAAAGGCUACAUGGAGCAAAACACAUCCAUCACCACUGAUUCUUGAAGGUGAAAUGAGAUUUUUGCAAGAAUAUCCAGCCAUCUGGACUUGGAGAGCUGAAGUGGACAUGGCCUGCAUAUGAUGCAUCUGGCCCAUGGGCCCCCAGUUUGACACCUCUGGUUUAACUGAUGGACCCAUGAAGCAAAAGAAGAUGUAAAUGAGAACAUGAGACUGCUAAUUUUUUGAGAUGCAACCACAAGCCUGGAACAUUCUAUCACAUGUGGUGUAUGUGCCCCAUCACAAGGAAGUACUGGUGCAAAAUUCGGAAGUGGUUAGAAGAAAUUACUGAGUGAAAAAUAGAACUCAAACCAGAAGCUUUCUUAUUAGGACUACUGGAUCAAAAAAUGGACAAACAAUCUCAAUACAUAAUCAUACACAUACUCACUGCAGCCAGGAUUGGCU